GACGUAGGGUGCGAGCGUUGUUCGGAUUUACUGGGCGUAAAGGGUGCGUAGGUGGCGGGGCAAGUCAGGUGUGAAAUCCCGGGGCUCAACCCCGGAACUGCAUUUGAUACUGCCUUGCUCGAGUACUGGAGAGGAGACUGGAAUUUACGGUGUAGCAGUGAAAUGCGUAGAUAUCGUAAGGAAGACCAGUGGCGAAGGCGAGUCUCUGGACAGUUACUGACACUGAGGCACGAAGGCCAGGGGAGCAAACGGG
rnacentral:rRNA from 1 species